ACUCAAAUGAAUUGACGGGGGCUCACACAAGCGGUGGAGGAUGUGGUUUAAUUCGAAGCAACGCGAAGAACCUUACCAGGUCUUGACAUACCGGAAUUAAUUCAGUGAAAGCUGGAGGAUUGCCGCAAGGCGUAACCGGAACAGGUGCUGCAUGGCUGUCGUCAGCUCGUGCCGUGAGGUGUUAGGUUAAGUCCUUUAACGAGCGAAACCCCUACGUUCAGUUACCAACGCGUCAUGGCGGGGACUCUGGACGGACUGCCGCGCAAGUAGGAGGAAGGUGGGGACGACGUCAAGUCAUCAUGGCCUUUAUGACCUGGGCCACACACGUCCUACAAUGGGUGGUACAGAGGGUUGCGAAGCCGCAAGGUGAAGCCAAUCCCACAAAGCCACCCUCAGUUCAGAUCGUGGGCUGCAAUUCGCCCACGUGAAGCUGGAAUCGCUAGUAAUCGCGGAUCAGCCACGCCGCGGUGAAUAUGUUCCUGAGCCUUGUACACACCGCCCGU
rnacentral:rRNA from 1 species